rnacentral:rRNA from 1 species
GAGUUUGAUCCUGGCUCAGGAUGAACGCUAGCGACAGGCUUAACACAUGCAAGUCGAGGGGCAGCGGUGGUGAAGGCUUGCCUUUACCAGCCGGCGACCGGCGCACGGGUGAGUAACACGUAUGCAACCUGCCUGCCACAGCCGGAUAAUCGGGAGAAAUUCCGUCUAAUACGGCAUAAUGCACCUAUGGGACAUCCUGUUGGUGCCAAAGGUUGAUUCCGGUGGCGGAUGGGCAUGCGUCGCAUUAGUUAGUUGGCGGUGUAACGGACCACCAAGACGACGAUGCGUAGGGGUUCUGAGAGGAAGGUCCCCCACACUGGUACUGAGACACGGACCAGACUCCUACGGGAGGCAGCAGUGAGGAAUAUUGGUCAAUGGGCGGGAGCCUGAACCAGCCAAGUCGCGUGAGGGAUGACGGCCCUAUGGGUUGUAAACCUCUUUUGCCGGGGAGCAAAGUGCCGCACGUGUGCGGUUUGGAGAGUACCCGGAGAAAAAGCAUCGGCUAACUCCGUGCCAGCAGCCGCGGUAAUACGGAGGAUGCGAGCGUUAUCCGGAUUUAUUGGGUUUAAAGGGUGCGUAGGCGGACGCUUAAGUCAGCGGUAAAAUUGCGGGGCUCAACCUCGUCGAGCCGUUGAAACUGGGUGCCUUGAGUGGGCGAGAAGUACGCGGAAUGCGUGGUGUAGCGGUGAAAUGCAUAGAUAUCACGCAGAACUCCGAUUGCGAAGGCAGCGUACCGGCGCCCAACUGACGCUGAAGCACGAAGGCGUGGGUAUCGAACAGGAUUAGAUACCCUGGUAGUCCACGCAGUAAACGAUGAAUGCUAGUUGUCCGGGGCGAUUGAGUUCUGGGUGACACAGCGAAAGCGUUAAGCAUUCCACCUGGGGAGUACGCCGGCAACGGUGAAACUCAAAGGAAUUGACGGGGGCCCGCACAAGCGGAGGAACAUGUGGUUUAAUUCGAUGAUACGCGAGGAACCUUACCCGGGCUCAAACGCAGGAGGGAUGUUUUUGAAAGGAGGCAGCCAGCAAUGGUCUCCUGCGAGGUGCUGCAUGGUUGUCGUCAGCUCGUGCCGUGAGGUGUCGGCUUAAGUGCCAUAACGAGCGCAACCCCCGCCGGCAGUUGCUAACGGGCAAUGCCGAGGACUCUGCCGGGACUGCCGCCGCAAGGCGUGAGGAAGGCGGGGAUGACGUCAAAUCAGCACGGCCCUUACGUCCGGGGCGACACACGUGUUACAAUGGGCGGUACAGCGGGAAGCCAGGCGGCGACGCCGAGCGGAACCCGAAAGCCGUUCUCAGUUCGGAUCGGAGUCUGCAACCCGACUCCGUGAAGCUGGAUUCGCUAGUAAUCGCGCAUCAGCCAUGGCGCGGUGAAUACGUUCCCGGGCCUUGCACUCACCGCCCGUCAAG